CAUGCAAGUCGAGGGGAAACGACAUCGAAAGCUUGCUUUUGAUGGGCGUCGACCGGCGCACGGGUGAGUAACGCGUAUCCAACCUGCCCACCACUUGGGGAUAACCUUGCGAAAGUAAGACUAAUACCCAAUGACGUCUCUAGAAGACAUCUGAAAGAGAUUAAAGAUUUAUCGGUGAUGGAUGGGGAUGCGUCUGAUUAGCUUGUUGGCGGGGUAACGGCCCACCAAGGCGACGUUCAGUAGGGGUUCUGAGAGGAAGGUCCCCCACAUUGGAACUGAGACACGGUCCAAACUCCUACGGGAGGCAGCAGUGAGGAAUAUUGGUCAAUGGACGAGAGUCUGAACCAGCCAAGUAGCGUGCAGGAAGACGGCCCUAUGGGUUGUAAACUGCUUUUAUAAGGGAAUAAAGUGAGAGUCGUGACUCUUUUUGCAUGUACCUUAUGAAUAAGGACCGGCUAAUUCCGUGCCAGCAGCCGCGGUAAUACGGAAGGUCCGGGCGUUAUCCGGAUUUAUUGGGUUUAAAGGGAGCGUAGGCCGGAGAUUAAGCGUGUUGUGAAAUGUAGAUGCUCAACAUCUGAACUGCAGCGCGAACUGGUUUCCUUGAGUACGCACAAAGUGGGCGGAAUUCGUGGUGUAGCGGUGAAGUGCUUAGAUAUCACGAAGAACUCCGAUUGCGAAGGCAGCUCACUGGAGCGCAACUGACGCUGAAGCUCGAAAGUGCGGGUAUCGAACAGGAUUAGAUACCCUGGUAGUCCGCACGGUAAACGAUGGAUGCCCGCUGUUGGUCUGAAUAGGUCAGCGGCCAAGCGAAAGCAUUAAGCAUCCCACCUGGGGAGUACGCCGGCAACGGUGAAACUCAAAGGAAUUGACGGGGGCCCGCACAAGCGGAGGAACAUGUGGUUUAAUUCG
rnacentral:rRNA from 1 species